GACGAACGCUGGCGGCGUGCUUAACACAUGCAAGUCGAACGGAAAGGCCCUGCUUUUGCGGGGUGCUCGAGUGGCGAACGGGUGAGUAACACGUGAGUAACCUGCCCUUGACUUUGGGAUAACUUCAGGAAAAUGGGGCUAAUACCGGAUAGGAGCUCCUGCUGCACGGUGGGGGUUGGAAAGUUUCGGCGGUUGGGGAUGGACUCGCGGCUUAUCAGCUUGUUGGUGGGGUAGUGGCUUACCAAGGCUUUGACGGGUAGCCGGCCUGAGAGGGUGACCGGCCACAUUGGGACUGAGAUACGGCCCAGACUCCUACGGGAGGCAGCAGUGGGGAAUAUUGCACAAUAGGCGGAAGCCUGAUGCAGCAACGCCGCGUGCGGAAUAACGGCCUUCGAGUUGUAAACCGCUUUCGCCUGUGACGAAGCGUGAGUGACGGUAAUGGGUAAAGAAGCACCGGCUAACUACGUG
rnacentral:rRNA from 1 species